UAAAAAGUGCAGCUCCUGUUCCUUAUCAGAGGGUGGAGAGAACAAGGUGAUUGAGUUGCUGGAUUCAUGAAUAACAUCUGUGUGAUUAGGGCUCCCCGCCCCCUCACAACACCCUAAUCGUAACUGAU
rnacentral:snoRNA from 1 species